CCUGCUUCUAGAGGCAUUACGGGCAUGGCUGCUCUGUCACUGUGCACCACCAGUUGGUAGCAGAGAGGCAAGAAGCUAGUCUAUGCUCAGUGUUCUGACUAGUGAAUCCAAAUGAUGAGUACCCAACCAUU